GUACUUAUACAUUAUUUCGUUCGUAUAAUAUUGGGAAUAGGGCCCAAGAGUUUCUACCAGACCCCCGGAAAGGGUCUGACUACGAACAAUAGUCAGGUAUAU
rnacentral:ncRNA from 2 species